GUUGAUAAGGUUAAGUGAAUAAGGGCGCACGGUGGAUGCCUUGGCACUAGGAGCCGAUGAAGGACGGGACUAACACCGAUAUGCUUUGGGGAGCUGUAAGUAAGCUAUGAUCCAGAGAUUUCCGAAUGGGGGAACCCAAUAUCUUUUAUAGGAUAUUACUUUUCAGUGAAUACAUAGCUGAUUAGAGGUAGACGCAGAGAACUGAAACAUCUUAGUACCUGCAGGAAGAGAAAGAAAAUUCGAUUCCCUGAGUAGCGGCGAGCGAAACGGGAAGAGCCCAAACCAACAAGCUUGCUUGUUGGGGUUGUAGGACUCCAAUAUGGUAGUCUGUUAGUAUAGUUGAAGGAUUUGGAAAAUUCCGCUAAAGAGGGUGAAAGCCCCGUAGACGAAAUGCUGACAACACCUAGGAGGAUCCUGAGUACGGCGGAACACGAGAAAUUCCGUCGGAAUCCGCGGGGACCAUCCCGCAAGGCUAAAUACUCCCUAGUGACCGAUAGUGAACCAGUACCGUGAGGGAAAGGUGAAAAGCACCCCGGAAGGGGAGUGAAAUAGAUCCUGAAACCGUGUGCCUACAACAAGUCAAAGCUCGUUAAUGAGUGAUGGCGUGCCUUUUGUAGAAUGAACCGGCGAGUUACGAUUGCAUGCGAGGUUAAGUCGAAGAGACGGAGCCGCAGCGAAAGCGAGUCUGAAUAGGGCGAAUGAGUAUGUAGUCGUAGACCCGAAACCAUGUGAUCUACCCAUGUCCAGGUUGAAGGUGCGGUAAAACGCACUGGAGGACCGAACCCACGUACGUUGAAAAGUGCGGGGAUGAGGUGUGGGUAGCGGAGAAAUUCCAAACGAACUUGGAGAUAGCUGGUUCUCUCCGAAAUAGCUUUAGGGCUAGCCUCGGAAUUGAGAAUGAUGGAGGUAGAGCACUGUUUGGACUAGGGGCCCAUCUCGGGUUACCGAAUUCAGAUAAACUCCGAAUGCCAUUCAUUUAUAUCCGGGAGUCAGACUGCGAGUGAUAAGAUCCGUAGUCGAAAGGGAAACAGCCCAGACCACCAGCUAAGGUCCCAAAAUAUAUGUUAAGUGGAAAAGGAUGUGGGGUUGCACAGACAACUAGGAUGUUGGCUUAGAAGCAGCCACCAUUUAAAGAGUGCGUAAUAGCUCACUAGUCGAGUGACCCUGCGCCGAAAAUGUACCGGGGCUAAACAUAUUACCGAAGCUGUGGACUACACCAUUAGGUGUAGUGGUAGGAGAGCGUUCUAAGGGCGUUGAAGGUCGAUCGUGAGGACGGCUGGAGCGCUUAGAAGUGAGAAUGCCGGUAUGAGUAGCGAAAGACAGGUGAGAAUCCUGUCCACCGUAUGACUAAGGUUUCCUGGGGAAGGCUCGUCCGCCCAGGGUUAGUCGGGACCUAAGCCGAGGCCGAUAGGCGUAGGCGAUGGACAACAGGUUGAUAUUCCUGUACCAGUUGUUUUUGUUUGAGCAAUGGAGGGACGCAGUAGGCUAAGGAAUGCAUGCGAUUGGAAGUGCAUGUCCAAGCAAUGAGUCUUGAGUAGAGUUAAAUGCUUUACUCUUUAAGGACAAGUUGUGACGGGGAG
rnacentral:rRNA from 1 species